rnacentral:rRNA from 1 species
UACGAAGGGGGCGAGCGCUGUUCGGAAUUACUGGGCGUAAAGGGCGCGUAGGCGGCGUGGUAAGUCACUUGUGAAAUCUCUGAGCUUAACUCAGAACGGCCAAGUGAUACUGCUGUGCUAGAGUGCAGAAGGGGCAAUCGGAAUUCUUGGUGUAGCGGUGAAAUGCGUAGAUAUCAAGAGGAACACCUGAGGUGAAGACGGGUUGCUGGGCUGACACUGACGCUGAGGCGCGAAAGCCAGGGGAGCAAACGGG